UGGGGAAUAUUGCACAAUGGGCGCAAGCCUGAUGCAGCCAUGCCGCGUGUAUGAAGAAGGCCUUCGGGUUGUAAAGUACUUUCAGUCGGGAGGAAGGUGGUAAGGUUAAUAACCUUAUCAAUUGACGUUACCGACAGAAGAAGCACCGGCUAACUCCGUGCCAGCAGCCGCGGUAAUACGGAGGGUGCAAGCGUUAAUCGGAAUUACUGGGCGUAAAGCGCACGCAGGCGGUUUGUUAAGUCAGAUGUGAAAUCCCCGGGCUCAACCUGGGAACUGCAUCUGAUACUGGAAAGCUUGAGUCUCGUAGAGGGGGGUAGAAUUCCAGGUGUAGCGGUGAAAUGCGUAGAGAUCUGGAGGAAUACCGGUGGCGAAGGCGGCCCCCUGGACGAAGACUGACGCUCAGGUGCGAAAGCGUGGGGAGCAAACAGG
rnacentral:rRNA from 1 species